rnacentral:rRNA from 1 species
UACGGGGGGGGCAAGCGUUGUUCGGAAUUACUGGGCGUAAAGGGCUCGUAGGUGGCCAACUAAGUCAGACGUGAAAUCCCUCGGCUUAACCGGGGAACUGCGUCUGAUACUGGAUGGCUUGAGUUCGGGAGAGGGAUGCGGAAUUCCAGGUGUAGCGGUGAAAUGCGUAGAUAUCUGGAGGAACACCGGUGGCGAAGGCGGCAUCCUGGUUGGAUACUGACGCUGAGACGCGAAAGCGUGGGGAGCAAACGGG